ACAUGAACGCGAGUCACUCGCUACAGUCUCUUCAACAUGGCCGAUCAAGAGGAGUAAAGACAGGACAGUGAGGCAGCAAAUGACAGACUAAUCCACUUUCUGAAGCUUGGAUUACCCCAGGAAAACAUCAGUAACAUUUUAGGUGUCACUCAUACAACUAUCGUUCGUUGGAUGAGAGAAUGUGUUUGGCCAGAGACAGAAUCCAAUAAUUAACCCUGAGAUGGAAUAUUCAGACUCAAUGGCAGUUGAACAAGAUGGUGGAGAUGCUGACCAUGUUCACUUUGCAGUCAACGUGCCUGUAAUUCACAGGCCACAACUCACAAAUGAGCAAAUUGACCCACUGCAAGUGUCUGAUUCAUUUGGAGUAGAUGUAUACCUCAAGACUCUCACAUAUGUACAGACUUUGAUUGAAUAAAGGGAUAUUUGAAGGUU